AUUGUUCAUAUGUGUGUAGAUAUAAGUCCAUAUAUCUAGAUAUAAAUCCAUAUAUCUUACGGGACCUUCGAAACAAAGCUUGAUACACCAACAAAGUCGUUCAACUAGCAAAUAGAAUCCGACAACAAAUACUGAAAAAUACGAGCAAGACCGGCAGAACCCCGACUAGAAAAGCUCGACGCAAGAUGCCAAAUUCUGAAACGGAACCGUGAACUACGAAUGGAAUUAAUGAACGGACGACCUCGGCGACCCGAACUCGCACCAGCCACUGACCUGAAUCUCAAACUCAGUUUCCCAUUUUCCUACUCUGUUUUUCUAGCUACUGUGCGGGUGUGUGCUGUUCAUGGUGUGAGAGUGAUGGAGGGAUCAGUAGCUGCACGUUUUUGGGAUAGUGAGAGGCGUUUCUGGAGGAAGGAAAUCGGCCGCAUCUGCUGCGUUUUUACUGCCUGAAGAAACAGCGUUUUGCUAUCUUUUGGACUGUUUUAUGGCUGAAAUUUGAUGCAAGAGUGAUGUUGUUUCGCUGGUGUUAGUGGCUGGAUUUUGGACCUGUUUUGAAGUGAUUUAAGGUGGAAGAAAAGGGGCUGGUUUUAUGGUGAUUUCAUGGAGUUUCAAGGUGGAUUUUUGGACUAACUAUGGAAGCUCCUCUGGUUCUCUCUCUAUUCCCCAGAUCCUUUCCUCUGUCCGUUUCCCUUUUCUGUGUGAGUUUUUUAUAUGUAUUUGUGAGUGUGUAUGCCUUUGUGGGUGGUCACGUGAGAGUUGAGUGACAUAAAAUUAAAAUAAUAAUAAGAAGAAGAAACGUGCUAGUGUGUGGACUGUGGAGUGAUUGUGAGGCAUCUGACAAAGUUUGUUAUAAAGAAUCUUUGGCAUGUGCUGUUCUU
rnacentral:lncRNA from 1 species